UAUGCAUGUACGUAAGCAUGCACGUACGUAUGUAUGCAUGUAUGUACAUAUGUAUGUGUGUGUGUAAUGUAAGUUUGUACGUAUGUAUGUGUGCGUCUUUUUGUGUAUGUGUAUCUGUGCACAUAUUUACGGCUUACGAUUAACCAACAGAACGUGACAAGAACAAGCAUCACCGGCGAGUUCCUUUUUCUCGGAGCAACAGGAAAGGGCACUCGACAGAACUGAAUCCAUACAGAUAGUGGAUGUUAACAACUUCGUUUACGAUGAAUAGAAGAAGGAUUGUCAUUUUCUUCCUGUUGUUCCUAAACUUGUAUUUCCUAUACAAGUCGGAUGUGCUGAUGACAAUCCGGGAGAAACAGGCCGUGGUAAGAGACACGAGUAGUGUUACUGUUUUUGUUAUCAUUG